GUGGGUAUAGCUCAAGUGGCAGAGCACAUACUUAGCAUGGACGAGUUCCUGGGUUCAAUCCCCAGUACCUCCU
rnacentral:tRNA from 1 species